UACGUAGGGUGCGAGCGUUGUCCGGAAUUAUUGGGCGUAAAGAGCUUGUAGGCGGUUUGUCGCGUCUGCUGUGAAGUCUCAAGGCUCAACCUUGAGCUUGCAGUGGGUACGGGCAGACUAGAGUGUGGUAGGGGAGACUGGAAUUCCUGGUGUAGCGGUGAAGUGCGCAGAUAUCAGGAGGAACACCGAUGGCGAAGGCAGGUCUCUGGGCCACUACUGACGCUGAGAAGCGAAAGCAUGGGGAGCGAACAGG
rnacentral:rRNA from 1 species